rnacentral:rRNA from 2 species
GUCGAGCCAAGAAAAGUUUCUAAGUUUAGCUAAUGUUGCCCGUACCGUAAACCGACACAGGUGGGUGGGAUGAGUAUUCUAAGGCGCGUGGAAGAACUCUCUUUAAGGAACUCUGCAAAAUAGCACCGUAUCUUCGGUAUAAGGUGUGGUUAGCUUUGUAUUAGGAUUUACUCCGAAAGCAAGGAAACUUACAACAAAGAGUCCCUCCCGACUGUUUACCAAAAACACAGCACUCUGCUAACUCGUAAGAGGAUGUAUAGGGUGUGACGCCUGCCCGGUGCUCGAAGGUUAAUUGAUGGGGUUAGCAUUAGCGAAGCUCUUGAUCGAAGCCCGAGUAAACGGCGGCCGUAACUAUAACGGUCCUAAGGUAGCGAAAUUCCUUGUCGGUUAAAUACCGACCUGCAUGAAUGGCGUAACGAGAUGGGAGCUGUCUCAAAGAGGGAUCCAGUGAAAUUGUAGUGGAGGUGAAAAUUCCUCCUACCCGCGGCAAGACGGAAAGACCCCGUGGACCUUUACUACAGCUUGACACUGCUACUUGGAUAAGAAUGUGCAGGAUAGGUGGGAGGCUUUGAGUAUAUGACGCCAGUUGUAUAUGAGCCAUUGUUGAGAUACCACUCUUUCUUAUUUGGGUAGCUAACCAGCUUGAGUUAUCCUCAAGUGGGACAAUGUCUGGUGGGUAGUUUGACUGGGGCGGUCGCCUCCCAAAUAAUAACGGAGGCUUACAAAGGUUGGCUCAGAACGGUUGGAAAUCGUUCGUAGAGUAUAAAGGUAUAAGCCAGCUUAACUGCAAGACAUACAAGUCAAGCAGAGACGAAAGUCGGUCUUAGUGAUCCGGUGGUUCUGUGUGGAAGGGCCAUCGCUCAAAGGAUAAAAGGUACCCCGGGGAUAACAGGCUGAUCUCCCCCAAGAGCUCACAUCGACGGGGAGGUUUGGCACCUCGAUGUCGGCUCAUCGCAUCCUGGGGCUGGAGCAGGUCCCAAGGGUAUGGCUGUUCGCCAUUUAAAGCGGUACGCGAGCUGGGUUCAGAACGUCGUGAGACAGUUCGGUCCCUAUCUGCCGUGGGCGUAAGAAGAUUGAAGAGAUUUGACCCUAGUACGAGAGGACCGGGUUGAACAAACCACUGGUGUAGCUGUUGUUCUGCCAAGAGCAUCGCAGCGUAGCUAAGUUUGGAAAGGAUAAACGCUGAAAGCAUCUAAGCGUGAAGCCAACUCUAAGAUGAAUCUUCUCUAAGCUCUCUAGAAGACUACUAGUUUGAUAGGCUGGGUGUGUAAUGGAUGAAAGUCCUUUAGCUGACCAGUACUAAUAGAGCGUUUGGCUUAUCUUUAAUAAAGCAU